UACGUAGGCAGCGAGCGUUGUUCGGAAUUACUGGGCGUAAAGCGCGCGUAGGCGGAUCUGCAAGUCGGGGGUGAAAUCCCGAGGCUCAACCUCGGAACUGCCUUCGAUACUGCGGGUCUCGAGUCCGGGAGAGGUGAGUGGAAUUCCUAGUGUAGAGGUGAAAUUCGUAGAUAUUAGGAAGAACACCAGUGGCGAAGGCGGCUCACUGGCCCGGUACUGACGCUGAGGCGCGAAAGCGUGGGGAGCAAACAGG
rnacentral:rRNA from 1 species